UACAGCGGUCCCAAGCGUUGUUCGGAUUCAUUGGGCGUAAAGGGUGCGUAGGCGGCGCGGUAAGUCGGGUGUGAAAUCUCGGAGCUUAACUCCGAAACUGCAUUCGAUACUGCCGUGCUUGAGGACUGGAGAGGAGACUGGAAUUUACGGUGUAGCGGUGAAAUGCGUAGAUAUCGUAAGGAAGACCAGUGGCGAAGGCGGGUCUUUGGACAGUUCCUGACGCUGAGGAACGAAGGCCAGGGGAGCAAACGGG
rnacentral:rRNA from 1 species